rnacentral:misc_RNA from 1 species
GAUGAAGAACGUAGCGAAAUGCGAUAAGUAAUGUGAAUUGCAGAAUUCAGUGAAUCAUCGAAUCUUUGAACGCUCAUUGCGCCCCUUGGUAUUCCGGGGGGCAUGCCUCUUCCAGCGUCAUUUCACCCCUCAAGCUCUGCUUGGUUUUGGGCCGCGCCGGCAACGGCGGGCCUCGAAAAUAGUGGCGACGCCAUCGUGCUCUCAGCGUAGUAAUUCUUCUCGCUGUUGGGUCCCGGUGGUCGUCCGCCAGCAACCCCCAACUUUCUUAAGUUUGACCUGGGAUGAGGUAGGGAUACCCGCUGAACUUAAGCAUAUCAAUAAGCGGAGGA